rnacentral:rRNA from 1 species
UACGUAGGUGGCAAGCGUUGUCCGGAUUUACUGGGCGUAAAGAGCGCGCAGGCGGUCGUGCAAGUCGCGUGUGAAAGCCCCCGGCUCAACUGGGGAGGGUCACGCGAUACUGUUCGACUCGAAGGCAGGAGAGGGGAAGCGGGAAUUCCCCGGUGUAGUGGUGAAAUGCGUAGAUAUCGGGAGGAACACCAGUGGCGAAGGCGGCUUCCUGGCCUGUUCUUGACGCUGAGGCGCGAAAGCUAGGGUAGCAAACGGG